rnacentral:rRNA from 1 species
AACGAACGCUGGCGGCAGGCCUAACACAUGCCAGUCGAGCGCGCCCUUCGGGGUGAGCGGCGGACGGGUGAGUAACGCGUGGGAACGUGCCCUUCUCUGCGGAAUAGCCUCGGGAAACUGAGAGUAAUACCGCAUACGCCCUUUGGGGGAAAGAUUUAUCGGAGAAGGAUCGGCCCGCGUUGGAUUAGGUAGUUGGUGGGGUAAUGGCCCACCAAGCCGACGAUCCAUAGCUGGUUUGAGAGGAUGAUCAGCCACACUGGGACUGAGACACGGCCCAGCCUCCUACGGGAGGCAGCAGUGGGGAAUCUUAGACAAUGGGGGCAACCCUGAUCGAGCCAUGCCGCGUGAGUGAUGAAGGCCUUAGGGUUGUAAAGCUCUUUCAGCUGGGAAGAUAAUGACGGUACCAGCAGAAGAAGCCCCGGCUAACUCCGUG